CAGAACAAAAAUUGCAUUCAAGGUUGGAAGACUUAAUUGAUGUGCGUGUAGAAAAUAUACAAAAACAAAAAAAAAAACGUGGUGAAAAUUUUGCAAAAACAUAAAAGAGAACAUAAACCAAAUAAAAACCAAUAUAAAAGUGUUGUGGCUGCAAAGACGAAAACUUAAAAACCAACCCCUGGAUAAGGUACGCCAAGAAAAAAAUGAAAAAGUGACCUUAUUACAUAAUUCCAUGUAUGUACUGUACAUAGGUUAUGAUCCACGUGUGGCAGGAAAUUGCUGACCUGGCCUGACCCUCGGUCUCGGAGGGGGGGUCCGCUCCAGUACCACGAUCAUCCGUCCCUCUUUUUGGUGCCACCGGACCUUGCCUGCAGGCGAAAAAACGGAUGGACUUGGCGAUCGGGACCGAGUUGUUUAUAUACAUAUAUCUCACGCGCAACUAUAAAACCAUCUAUUAUAUUAUAUCACCGCGCCUUGUGUAAAGAAAUGUUGGUGCUUGCAUAUGUAGGGUGUGGAAAAAUUAGCUCAGCGGUCAUUGCCCUUGCGGCUGACCAUACACCUAUGCGCACUUAAAUAGACCCACCUGACCGUAUGUCACCUAUUCUCUCCUUCUCUCAGGUUAUUAAAAUUGUUCGAUGCCGACAUUCUAAAAGCCACUUAAGGGAAGAAAAGUAAAUCACAAAAAUCUAGAAAAGAAAAUAAUGAAAAAUCAUGGAGAGAAGAAAAAAAAUAGAAAAGAAAAUUGUUCAAUAAUAUUAAAUAUUCCUAGACAUUAACUUAGAAAUAGAAGAAGAAAAACAUGAAAUUUAUNCUAAGAUAAAAUCUGGCGGGGGGGUGUGAAGGUUGCAGACCAAAAACAAAAGGUUAGAAUGUCUGUUUGUUUUUGGGGAACAGUCUUCUAAUUUUAUCAAGAAAAUAUUGAACCUCCCCCACUGUACGCAUUCCAGCGAGAGCCCACAUGCAAGAUCAGAAGCUGUUAUCUUGAAAAGCUCUCUCUUUCGAAAUUGCAUGUGCGAGCACCGUUCACAUGUGAGCUUUUCUCUCUGCAAACAUAGCUUACGGCUAGCCCUUCGAGAACCUUCUUAGCUCUCUCAUACACAGCUUUUGGA
rnacentral:lncRNA from 1 species